GACAGAGGUUGCAAGCGUUGUUCGGAAUUACUGGGCGUAAAGCGCGUGUAGGCGGCGAAGCAUGUCUGAUGUGAAAGCCCUCGGCUUAACUGGGGAAGUGCAUCAGAAACUGCUUUGCUUGAGUGUGAGAGAGGGUGGCGGAAUUCCCAGAGUAGAAGUGAAAUUCGUAGAUACUGGGAGGAACACCAGAGGCGAAGGCGGCCACCUGGUUCACAACUGACGCUGAGACGCAAAAGCGUGGGGAGCAAACAGG
rnacentral:rRNA from 1 species